rnacentral:rRNA from 1 species
UAGGGAAUUUUCGUCAAUGGGGGGAACCCUGAACGAGCAAUGCCGCGUGUGUGAAGAAGGUCUUCGGAUCGUAAAGCACUGUUGUAAGUGAAGAAUGCCAUAUAGAGGAAAUGCUAUGUGGGUGACGGUAGCUUACCAAAAACGCCACGGCUAACUACGUGCCAGCAGCCGCGGUAAUACGUAGGUGGCAAGCGUUAUCCGGGAAUCAUUGGGCGUAAAGGGUGCGUAGGUGGCACGAUAAGUCUGAAGUAAAAGGCAACAGCUCAACUGUUGUAUGCUUUGGAAACUGUCGAGCUAGAGUGCAGAAGAGGGCGAUGGAAUUCCAUGUGUAGCGGUAAAAUGCGUAGAUAUAUGGAGGAACACCAGUGGCGAAGGCGGUCGCCUGGUCUGUAACUGACACUGAUGCACGAAAGCGUGGGGAGCAAAUAGGAUUAGAUACC